rnacentral:rRNA from 1 species
UCGUAGUCCGGAUUWGAGUCUGCAACUCGACUCCAUGAAGUCGGAAUCGCUAGUAAUCGCAGGUCAGAAUACUGCGGUGAAUACGUUCCCGGGCCUUGUACACACCGCCCGUCACACCAUGGGAGUGGGAUGCAAAAGAAGUAGUUAGUUUAACCUUCGGGAGGACGAUUACCACUUUGUGUUUCAUGACUGGGGUGAAGUCGUAACAAGGUAACCCUAGGGGAACCUGGGGU